CCCUCCCUCUUGACGAACUGUGAUGCCAUUAAUUUGGUGUCGCAGGGAAUCAGGACUGUUACUUUGAAAAAAUUAGAGUGUUUAAAGCAGGCUUUCGCUUGAAUACAUUAGCAUGGAAUAAUGAAAUAGGACGUUUGAUCCUAUUUUGUUGGUUUCUAGGAUUGACGUAAUGAUUAAUAGGGAUAGUUGGGGGCAUUAGUAUUCAAUUGUCAGAGGUGAAAUUCUUGGAUUUAUUGAAGACUAACUACUGCGAAAGCAUUUGCCAAGGAUGUUUUCAUUAAUCAAGAACGAAAGUUAGGGGAUCGAAGACGAUCAGAUACCGUCGUAGUCUUAACCAUAAACUAUGCCGACUAGGGAUCGGAUGAUGUUAAUUUUUUAUUGACUCAUUCGGCGCCUUACG
rnacentral:rRNA from 1 species